AUAUAUAUCUGAGGGGGCAUUUAAAAAAACGCUACCGGUGCCCGGAAGACUCGCUCUCGACGCUAAGUAUUCGUGCACAGCUUGGAACGAGGCCAGCCAAGAGAAAAGCGAGGAUACAACAGUUCGGUGUGAAGUCCAGUUGUCCUUAAAGGUGAUGUCACAAAAUGAGGAAGUGAGAGAAGGAGAAGAUGUGUCCAUCCUCUGUGCCAGCACCCCACCUGCAGACCAGUACAUUGUCUGGACACCCAGAAAGCAGUCCCUCUCGC